rnacentral:ncRNA from 1 species
CAAUGGCAGUGAAGAUGCUGCCUACCUGCGGCUAGACGGAAAGACCCCGGAAGCUUUACUGUAGUUAGAUAUUGGUUUAUGGUUUUCGAUGCGUAGCGUAGUGGGGAGGAUUUGAAGUCCCGCCUUCGGGCGGGAUGGAUCCGCCGAUGAAACACCCAUCUUUGAAAAUUAUAAUUCUAAUUCCCUUAACUUGGGAUGACAGUGUUUAAUGGGCAGUUUAAGUGGGGCACUUGCCUUAACUAUUACAAAUCAUAAACGCAUUUGUAAUGGGGCCACUUGAAAGUAAUUUCAAGUGCAAACUCGACUAAUAUGCUGGAACAUCCGAGUAUCCAAAAGUACUAAGCAUUGGAAGGCCCGUCCUUCCAAUAAUUAGUGAAAAUCUUUUGGCGCGACCUCCUCCGUUAAAACUACGGACGGUCAACGGACAAUCAGCAGGGAAUUAUUCGAAAAUUGAAAGUUGCGUUAUCAGGGAAAUUUCUUUGACAAGGAGAAAACAAUGACGAGCGAUACUAUUGUUACGGCUGUUAUUAUUGUCGCAUUGGUUGCGUGCACGCCUUUUGUGUGGCUCGCAUAUGGAGUGGUAAAAGCGAUGGUCAAGGAUAGACAAAAAUAGGAAUUUUCAAGGCGAAUCAAGGACGAUUCGCCACAACUUUCAAUUUUCGAAUAGACCCUCAACGACUACACGUCGAGACCCUGUAAAUUUUACAGGGCAGUGAUAUAGUCUGAACUUUAUGGCGACAUAAAGAUUCGGUAAUGUUAAUUUUUAAAACCUUUGGCGAGGUUUUAAUCGUGCCGAUUAACUAAUCCGAAACUUAAAAUUUAUUUUAAGGUUAACAGAAUUGCCUAAAGAGUAAUGGAGGCGUUUAAAGGUUGGCUAGCUUCGGAUGGAAAUCGAAGCGAUAGGGCAAAGCCAUAAGCCAGCUUUACUGCAAGACGGCUAUGUCGCGCAGUUGCGAAAGCAGAACUUAGUGAACCGACUAAUUUUCAUAGAAAAUUAGAAGAUCAUCAGCCAAAAGCUACUCCGGGGAUAACAGGCUGGUAGAGCCCGAGAGUCCUUAUCGACGGCUCUGUUCGGCACCUCGAUGUCGGCUCAACUUAUCCUGGGGGUGGAGAAGCUCCCAAGGGUCCGGCUGUUCGCCGGUUAAAAAGUUACGUGAGCUGGGUUCAAACCGUCAAAUAGAAUCAGACUUAUUAACAACAAGUCUAUAGAAUAUCGAGAUCAACACGGCGGCUUUCACGAGCAAUUGUGAUAGCAAAACCGACUCAUAUCGGUGGAUUCCUAACAAAGUAUUGAACAUUAACCUGUCAUAUGUUAGGAUAAUACCGAGGGAAGUUGUGUAUGAAGAAGUUGAUUUCGCAAAAAAGAGCAUAUUUAGCUGGUUUUCUCGAUGGAGACGGCAGUAUUUAUGUGCAGUUAAAACCAAAUAAAACAUACAAAUUUGGUUUUCAAGUUGCGCCAUAUAUUGUUUUAUUUCAAUCGCAGAAAGACCAGAAAAACUUUGAACAACUUUGUUCAAUGAUUAAUCUUGGCUAUAUGAGAAUUAGGAAAGAUGGGAUUUUAGAAUACAUAAUCGGAAGGCAAGAAAAUAUAGCCGAGUUUAUAAAAUUAGUAGAGCCAUAUGUUGUAAUGAAAAAAAUGCAAAUAGCUCUUCUGAAAAAAAUUAUCAUUGCAAAGAAUAAAGUUAGAAAUAAAGGAGAUUUUAAAGCUCUUGCGAAAUUAAUUGACACUUUUAGAGAAUUAAAUUAUUCAAAAAAUAGAAAAGUGCGUACAUUAACCCCGUAGAGACUUGUCCCGGCUUUGCCGAGGACAGAUAAAAUUAGAAAUAAUUUUAUAAAACGUCGGGUUCCGUAAAAAAAUAGUUACAAAUUCCAAAUAAGUUCUAAAAUAAAAGAAAACCACGCGACUUUCGUCCGUGGUGUGGAGCAGUUGGCCCGCUCAGUCCCUUAAAAGUUUUCAAGGUGUGUCAGGUUGGGGACCUUGAGGUCAGCAGGAUCGCCAACGCGAUUCCAUAACCUGUCGUUCAAGCGCUUGGCGCAAAAACGGCAUUCCUUCUCGUGCAGUUUGAAGGCUACGCUUUCAUUCUCUGAUAACGAGCCUUCAAGAAGCCGAUCAAUAUUAGCCCGAAAUGUUUCGCAGUUCAUACGUUUCUCCUUUCUAUGAAAUCAAUAGUGAACUGUUUAUAGUUUAUCAUAUUGAUAAAUUAUUGUCAAGUAUUUAGAAUUUAUUUGGGAUUUGUAACAUAAAAAUAUACGGAAUAUGGUAUAGUCCACGCACUUAGUAAUAAGUGGUUUAAGCGUGAGACAGGUUGGUCCCUAUCUACCGCAGGCGUUGAGUUUUGAGGAGCUUUGAUCCUAGUACGAGAGGACCGGAUUGAACCAACCUCUGGUGUACCAGUUGUUCUGCCAAGAGCAUCGCUGGGUAGCUAAGUUGGGACGGGAUAAGCGCUGAAAGCAUAUAAGCGCGAAACCCCCUCCAAGAUGAGAACUCAAAGACCCUCCGCUCAAUAAUUUUUCGUAGCGAAAUGAAAUAAUUUUGUGCGAAAAUUUUCAAAAAUGAGGAGGUUUAUCAAUGAAAUGAUAAGCCGACGAAUUUUUGAAAACUUGCAGCCAAAAUUAUGAAUUGCAGCAGAAAAGAUUAUUGAGCGGAGGGUCUAAAGAUUCCCCGAAGAUGACGGGGUUGAUAGGCUCCAGGUGUAAGGGCAGUAAUGCUCUCAGCCGGGGAGUACUAAUAAAUCAU